rnacentral:rRNA from 1 species
CGUCUAGGCGGCCGAGUAAGUCGCAUGUGAAAGCUCCUGGCUCAACUGGGAGAGUGCGUGGGAAACUGCUUGGCUCGAGUACCGGAGGGGGGUGUGGAAUUCCCGGUGGAGUGGUGGAAUGCGUUGAGAUCGGGAGGAACACCAGAAGCGAAGGCGGCACCCUGGCCGGUUACUGACGGCUGAAGCGCGAAAGCGUGGGGAGCGAACG